UACGGGGGGGCAAGCGUUGUUCGGAAUUACUGGGCGUAAAGGGCGCGUAGGCGGCACGGCAAGUCGGGAGUGAAAGGCCUGGGCUCAACCGAGGAACUGCUUUCGAGACUGCCGAGCUAGAGUGCGGAAGGGGCAACUGGAAUUCCCAGUGUAGCGGUGAAAUGCGUAGAUAUUGGGAAGAACACCUGAGGCGAAGGCGGGUUGCUGGGCCGACACUGACGCUGAGGCGCGAAAGCGUGGGUAGCAAACAGG
rnacentral:rRNA from 1 species